CGGGGGAGCUACCAUGCAGUCGAACGAACUCUUCGGAGUUAGUGGCGGACGGGUGAGUAACACGUGGGAACGUGCCUUUUGGUUCGGAAUAACUCAGGGAAACUUGUGCUAAUACCGAAUGUGCCCUUCGGGGGAAAGAUUUAUCGCCAUUAGAGCGGCCCGCGUCUGAUUAGCUAGUUGGUGAGGUAACGGCUCACCAAGGCGACGAUCAGUAGCUGGUCUGAGAGGAUGACCAGCCACACUGGGACUGAGACACGGCCCAGACUCCUACGGGAGGCAGCAGUGGGGAAUCUUGCGCAAUGGGCGAAAGCCUGACGCAGCCAUGCCGCGUGAAUGAUGAAGGUCUUAGGAUUGUAAAAUUCUUUCACCGGGGACGAUAAUGACGGUACCCGGAGAAGAAGCCCCGGCUAACUUCGUGCCAGCAGCCGCGGUAAUACGUAGGUGGCAAGCGUUGUCCGGAAUUAUUGGGCGUAAAGCGCGCGCAGGCGGGAUAUCAAGUCUGUCUUAAAAGUGCGAGGCUCAACCUCGUGAGGGGACGGAAACUGGUAUUCUUGAGUGUCGGAGAGGAAAGUGGAAUUCCAAGUGUAGCGGUGAAAUGCGUAGAGAUUUGGAAGAACACCAGUGGCGAAGGCGACUUUCUGGACGAUGUCUGACGCUGAGGCGCGAAAGCUAGGGGAGCGAACGGGAUUAGAUACCCCGGUAGUCCUAGCCCGUAAACGAUGGGUACUACGUGUAGGGGGGUAUCGACCCCUUCUUGUGCUGGGAGUUCACGCCAUAAGUAACCCGCCCUGGGUAGUAUCGGGCCCCCUGGGUGAUUACU
rnacentral:rRNA from 1 species